rnacentral:lncRNA from 1 species
AUGAUUUCUCUUGCAUCCUUCUCACUGUGUUUUCCAAGAUCUGCCAAAGUCCCUUCCUUUUUCAAUCACAUUUCAUUAUUGAGACUUAGCCAGCUGGAAAGGCUUGGAGUACAGACCCAGUUAUGAACACUAAUCAUCCUUGAAGCCCACUUAAAAAAAAUCCAGGGAAGAAUCCCCAGACAGGCUGCAGGUAUCCGUGUAUUUGACCAGAUUAUUAAAAUAGGUGACAUCAAUCUAAUUGGAUUGGAUGAAGCAGAAAUCGUCUCUAUUUUUAAAAAAAUGGACGAUUCUCCUUUCCAGAUUGAAUUUGGCCGCGAACCACCUGAAGUCAAGUCAGAACUUAUAGUACUCCUCAAGUUGUCAGAGGAAAGGAAGAAAUAUUUUAUGAAUUCACUCAUAGUACAGGAAAAAAUUGGAGAUAUCACUAUUGUGAGAGGACAAGCAAGUAUUUGUACAACUUCAAGAGAACCAUGGUACUGGAUGGCCAGGUAUAUAUAUAUAUAUUUUAUAUAUAUAUGUAUAUAUAUAA